UACGUAGGGGGCAAGCGUUGUCCGGAAUCAUUGGGCGUAAAGCGCGUGUAGGCGGUCCGGUAAGUCCGCUGUGAAAGUCGGGGGCUCAACCCUCGGAUGCCGGUGGAUACUGUCGGGCUUGAGUACGGAAGAGGCGAGUGGAAUUCCUGGUGUAGCGGUGAAAUGCGCAGAUAUUGGGAGGAACACCAGUGGCGAAGGCGGCUCACUGGACCGGAACUGACGCUGAGGCGCGAAAGCGUGGGGAGCAAACAGG
rnacentral:rRNA from 1 species